UCCCUUCUUAAAAGCACUUGUUCUGCCUGUGUUCAGUGGCUGGGUGAGUUGUCGUGGAAGGGAACAGUAAAGGCAUUGCUCUUGGGUGAGAUGGCAGCAACUUGUGCUGUUCAGUCUCAAUCCGUGAUGUCACAUUU